rnacentral:rRNA from 1 species
UACGUAGGAUGCAAGCGUUGUCCGGAUUUACUGGGCGUAAAGCGCGCGCAGGCGGCAGUGUAAGUAAGGUGUGAAAUCUCCCUGCUCAACGGGGGAGGGUGCACUUUAGACUACACAGCUAGAGGUCGGUAGAGGGGGGUGGAAUUGCUGGUGUAGCGGUGAAAUGCGUAGAGAUCAGCAGGAACACCCGUGGCGAAGGCGGCCCCCUGGGCCGUACCUGACGCUGAGGCGCGAAGGCUAGGGGAGCGAACGGG